UUAAACGCCCCGCUCGUCUCCAGCUGUGUACUCUUCAGCUGCCAGCCGGACCACUGAAACCGACCCAGGAUCAGAAUUCACAAACAAAACUCCAGCAUUUAAAACUCAACCCCCUUUUCUGAAACCAAGCCAACCUGUUGAGUGUCACAGUGGAUAAAGCAGGGUGUUGGCGUACUGUGUGGAGAAAAGUCGCUGGUUCUGAGUCAGAUAUCCGCCUUCUUGGGAGAAAUUUCCUUGUUUUGUAGUUGCUAAAUACAACGUGUGAGAGGUAAACAGCCUCAAACGUGAAAAUGUCAAAGAUCUGUGCUUUGGUGUUGAUGACAUUUGUGUCCCUGGUGCUGGCGGAAGAACAGAACUUGGAAGAGGACCCAUUUACCUUUGACUACCACAGACUGCGUGUUGGAGGCCUGAUUCUAGCUGCUGUCCUCUGUCUCAUUGGCAUCACCAUCCUGUUCAGUGGCCACUGCAGGUGCAAAUUCAAUCAGGACAAGAGAAGGAGAACAGGAAGCAAUGCUCAGCCGAUGCUCUCCGAGCAAGGUCGUUCCUGCGACUGCUAGAUGUCAGCCAGAACACACAACUGUCUUCCCAAACCUGCAACCAACAAACAAGAUGGAAGAGCAGCAGCGGGAUUUAAAAUAUCCAACAAGAGGCUUUGGUUUUUGUUGUUAGAGAACAGAAAGUAGUCUGUGUGAACCGGCUGCAAGGUGUGAUGCUUUCUGCCUGAUAAGUAAGCUACCGAUCUGCAGACAGCCCUGCACACACACACACACACACACACACACACACACACUGAAGAUGGAAAGGCAUUUUAUAUACAGAAACUGUUCCUGCCAUGACUCAGUGUAAAUGCUUUGUCAGUUAUUGUUGAUAGUUUUGGUUGAUUGACUUACAACAAUUAAAAGAAACCUAUUACCAAACAAAUCCUCAAGUAUCUACAUACAGUAGGUAGUGUCACUGUCUCCCACUACUUCUGUUGUUUGUACGGUGUGUGUAAGGUAAACAUCGUUGUAGAUAUCAAACCCACUGUCCUGGCUUUUCUGUCACAUACAUGAAAUCUGCAUAGACCUCAGUGUUUAGUGUGCUUUUGACAAAGUAAUAAUCUGUUAAUUCCCAUGUUAAGCUUUAUGGAGGUAACUAGUGGAUUGCACUGUUCAGAGAUACAGAAACACUCUGUCAUGUUUCUAUAAAAAAACUAUUGAAACAAACAA